rnacentral:lncRNA from 1 species
CAGCCUACCAUUGCCAAUCCUCUUCCCUGUGCGAAGAUCCUGAAUAACACAAUGAUCAGGAAAGAAUUCAAGUUUACAGUUAAGGGCAUUGGUGAUAGCACUGACAGAUAAAAGGUUGACAGGAAAGUGGGGAACAUGAAGGACAGAUUAUAAUUUAAUGUUGGAUGUGCAAAUAACAGAACCUGUUCCGGAUAUUGGAGUAAAAGAGCCAUCAGCAAUUCUGACACUAUCUUUGGUUAGAGAAGGAGAAUAAUUGAGAAAGCCUUUAGAAGAGCCUGUCAUAUGUCUAUUCGCACCAGAAUCGAUAAUCCAUGGAACAUUAUUAAAAGAG